AAAGGAAGCAUAUAAAAAUGAUGGAGGGCAACUUUUUGCUUAGGCAGAUAAUGGCAGGACAAGGGGGAAUGGUUUUAAACUAAAA